CAUAUGUGAAUCUCAUGAAACUCUUUUUCAGUAUUCACACUUACUUUAGCUAGAAAUUUUUUGAACUCAGUCUUACGAAUCGCAUAGGACUUCUCUUUUUCUACAAAGAUCGAUAGAUUCCAUCUAAGUGCAUCCUACUCUAAACAGCGAAUCUGAACCUACAAUAGCCAACAUACAUAGUAAGAACCCAAAUGGCUAGUGGUCAAGAAAACAUGCAGUCAAACUAAGUAGCUUCACUGUGAAUAGCCAACACAUCGUAGGUCAAAGGACCAGUCACACUACUAC
rnacentral:lncRNA from 1 species